CAGUGUACCCGCGGCAAGACGGAAAGACCCCGUGAACCUUUACUAUAGCUUGACACUGAACAUUGAGCCUUGAUGUGUAGGAUAGGUGGGAGGCUUUGAAGCGUGGACGCCAGUCUGCGUGGAGCCGACCUUGAAAUACCACCCUUUAAUGUUUGAUGUUCUAACGUGGACCCGUAAUCCGGGUUGCGGACAGUGUCUGGUGGGUAGUUUGACUGGGGCGGUCUCCUCCUAAAGAGUAACGGAGGAGCACGAAGGUUGGCUAAUCCUGGUCGGACAUCAGGAGGUUAGUGCAAUGGCAUAAGCCAGCUUGACUGCGAGCGUGACGGCGCGAGCAGGUGCGAAAGCAGGUCAUAGUGAUCCGGUGGUUCUGAAUGGAAGGGCCAUCGCUCAACGGAUAAAAGGUACUCCGGGGAUAACAGGCUGAUACCGCCCAAGAGUUCAUAUCGACGGCGGUGUUUGGCACCUCGAUGUCGGCUCAUCACAUCCUGGGGCUGAAGUAGGUCCCAAGGGUAUGGCUGUUCGCCAUUUAAAGUGGUACGCGAGCUGGGUUUAGAACGUCGUGAGACAGUUCGGUCCCUAUCUGCCGUGGGCGCUGGAGAACUGAGGGGGGCUGCUCCUAGUACGAGAGGACCGGAGUGGACGCAUCACUGGUGUUCGGGUUGUCAUGCCAAUGGCACUGCCCGGUAGCUAAAUGCGGAAGAGAUAAGUGCUGAAAGCAUCUAAGCACGAAACUUGCCCCGA
rnacentral:rRNA from 1 species